UCCCGGAUCGUCUAGCGGUAGGACAGCAGACUCUGGAUCUGCUUACGGUGGUUCGAAUCCAUCUCCGGGAG
rnacentral:tRNA from 1 species